rnacentral:rRNA from 1 species
CAGUCGCCGCGGUAAUACGGAAGGUCCAGGCGUUAUCCGGAUUUAUUGGGUUUAAAGGGAGUGUAGGCGGUCUGUUAAGCGUGUUGUGAAAUUUAGGUGCUCAACAUCUAACUUGCAGCGCGAACUGGCGGACUUGAGUGCACGCAACGUAUGCGGAAUUCAUGGUGUAGCGGUGAAAUGCUUAGAUAUCAUGACGAACUCCGAUUGCGAAGGCAGCGUACGGGAGUGUUACUGACGCUUAAGCUCGAAGGUGCGGGUAUCGAACAGGAUUAGAGACCCCUGUAGUCCCUGUCUCUUAUAC